GAUAAGGUGGCUGAAGUUUAAGGCGAUAAAUUGUAAAUUUAUUUAUGGUGGUUACACCUCUUAUCA
rnacentral:tRNA from 1 species